rnacentral:rRNA from 2 species
GCUGGUGGCGAUGCGCUUACGGGACACACCCGUUUCCAUUCCGAACACGGAUGGUUAAGACGUAAGAGGCCGAAAGUACUAUACUGGAGACGGUAUGGGAGGAUAGGUGGCCGCCAGCA